GACGAACGCUGGCGGCGUGCUUAACACAUGCAAGUCGAACGGAAAGGCCCUGCCUUUGUGGGGUGCUCGAGUUGCGAACGGGUGAGUAACACGUGAGUAACCUGUCCCUGACUGUGGGAUAACUUCAGGAAACUGGGGCUAAUACCGGAUAGGAGUUCCCGCUGCUUGGUGGGGGUUGGUAAGUUUCGGCGGUUGGGGAUGGACUCGCGGCUUAUUAGCUUGUUGGUGGGGUAGUGGCAUACCAAGGUUUUGAAGAGUAGCCGGGCUGAGAGGGUGAGCGGCCAAGUUGGGAUGGAGAUGAGACACGGACUCGAACGGUACGCAGCGGUGGAGAGUAUAACAUAAUGGGCGGAAGGCUGAUGCAGCACCGCCGCGUGCGGGAUGUCAGCCUUCGGGUUGGAAACCGAUUUCGCCUGUGACGAAGCGUGAGUGACGGUAAUGGGAAAAGAAGCACCGGCUAACUACGUG
rnacentral:rRNA from 1 species